rnacentral:rRNA from 1 species
CCUACGGGAGGCAGCAGUGGGGAAUAUUGCACAAUGAGCGAAAGCUUGAUGCAGCCAUACCGCGUGUGUGAAGAAGGCCCGAGGGUUGUAAAGCACUUUCAAUUGUGAGGAAGGUAGUGUAGUUAAUACCUGCAUUGCUUGACGUUAACCUUAGAAGAAGCACCGGCUAACUCUGUGCCAGCAGCCGCGGUAAUACAGAGGGUGCAAGCGUUAUUCGGAAUUACUGGGCGUAAAGCGCGCGUAGGCGGACUAUUAAGUCAGUUGUGAAAGCCCUGGGCUCAACCUGGGAACUGCAUCUGAUACUGGUAGUCUAGAGUUUAAGAGAGGGAAGUGGAAUUCCAGGUGUAGCAGUGAAAUGCGUAGAUAUCUGGAGGAACAUCAGUGGCGAAGGCGACUUCCUGGCUUAAAACUGACGCUGAGGUGCGAAAGCGUGGGUAGCGAACGGGAUUAGAUACCCCGGUAGUCCACGCCGUAAACGAUGUCAACUAGUUGUUGGUCUUAUUAAAAGGAUUAGUAACGAAGCUAACGCGAUAAGUUGACCGCCUGGGGAGUACGGUCGCAAGAUUAAAACUCAAAGGAAUUGACGGA